UACGUAGGCAGCAAGCGUUGUUCGGAGUUACUGGGCGUAAAGGGUGUGUAGGCGGUUCUCUAAGUCUGGUGUGAAAUCUCCCGGCUCAACUGGGAGGGUGCGCCGGAAACUGGAGAGCUAGAGUACUGGAUGGGAGAGUGGAAUUCCUGGUGUAGCGGUGAAAUGCGUAGAUAUCAGGAGGAACACCUGUGGUGUAGACGGCUCUCUGGACAGUAACUGACGCUGAGACACGAAAGCGUGGGUAGCAAACAGG
rnacentral:rRNA from 1 species